rnacentral:snRNA from 1 species
GUGCUAUGGGUGUCCUAUUGAGGAAUUUGUAGCAGCACAUAUACUAAAAUUGCAACGACACAGAGAAGAUUAGCAUGGCCCCUGCGCAUAGGGAGUCUUAAACCGUCUAAAUGCUGUUU